GUACUUACCUGACAGGGGAAACACCACGUUCACGAAGGUGAUUUUCCCAGGGUGAAGCUCCUGCAUUGCACUCUGGGCAUAUUGACCCCUGCGAUUUCCCCAAAAGUGGGAAACUCGACUACAUAAUUUGUGGUAAUGGGGGACUAUGUUUGCGCUCUCUCCUG